rnacentral:rRNA from 1 species
CAUGCAAGUCGAACGGUAACGCGGAGAGAAGCUUGCUUCUCUCCGGCGACGAGUGGCGAACGGGUGAGUAAUACAUCGGAACGUGUCCGCUCGUGGGGGACAACCAGCCGAAAGGUUGGCUAAUACCGCAUGAGUUCUACGGAAGAAAGAGGGGGACCCGCAAGGACCUCUCGCGAGCGGAGCGGCCGAUGACUGAUUAGCCGGUUGGUGAGGUAACGGCUCACCAAAGCAACGAUCAGUAGCUGGUCUGAGAGGACGACCAGCCACACUGGGACUGAGACACGGCCCAGACUCCUACGGGAGGCAGCAGUGGGGAAUUUUGGACAAUGGGCGCAAGCCUGAUCCAGCUAUUCCGCGUGUGGGAUGAAGGCCCUCGGGUUGUAAACCACUUUUGUAGAGAACGAAAAGACACCUUCGAAUAAAGGGUGUUGCUGACGGUACUCUAAGAAUAAGCACCGGCUAACUACGUGCCAGCAGCCGCGGUAAUACGUAGGGUGCGAGCGUUAAUCGGAAUUACUGGGCGUAAAGGGUGCGCAGGCGGUUGAGUAAGACAGAUGUGAAAUCCCCGAGCUUAACUCGGGAAUGGCAUAUGUGACUGCUCGACUAGAGUGUGUCAGAGGGAGGUGGAAUUCCACGUGUAGCAGUGAAAUGCGUAGAUAUGUGGAAGAACACCGAUGGCGAAGGCAGCCUCCUGGGACAUAACUGACGCUCAGGCACGAAGGCGUGGGGAGCAAAC